GACGAACGCUGGCGGCGUGCUUAACACAUGCAAGUCGAGCGGUAAGGCCCUUUCGGGGGUACACGAGCGGCGAACGGGUGAGUAACACGUGGGUGACCUGCCCUCAGCUCUGGGAUAAGCCUGGGAAACCGGGUCUAAUACUGGAUAUGACUCCAUGACGCAUGUUGUGGGGUGGAAAGCCUUGUGCGGCUGAGGAUGGGCCCGCGGCCUAUCAGCUUGUUGGUGGGGCGAUGGCCUACCAAGGCGACGACGGGUAGCCGGCCUGAGAGGGCGACCGGCCACACUGGGACUGAGACACGGCCCAGACUCCUACGGGAGGCAGCAGUGGGGAAUCUUGCGCAAUGGGCGAAAGCCUGACGCAGCGACGCCGCGUGAGGGAUGACGGCCUGGUGU
rnacentral:rRNA from 1 species